UAUUUCCAAAUAAAGUGAUAUUUACAGUUACUGGGAGUUAGAACUUGAACAUAUCUUUUGGGGAAUACAAUUCAACCCACAACAGAUGGGGAUAUAGCUAUGGAGGGUAAGGAAGAUGGGGCGUACCAGGGAUGGAGCACUGGGAUGUCAGAGAAUAGCAACCUAUGAAGACUCGAAGGAUGUAGGGGAGUGAGCCAUUUUGGGGAAUGGGAACAAGAAGUUCAAGGCCCCAAGGCAGGACCUUGCUCGGUGUAUUUGAGAUCAAGAAGGCCAGUGUGGCUGAAGUAAAAGGAGAUGGCAUCACAGAGGUAGCAUGACCAGGUUCCAUGGAGCCAUCAUAAUGGGAUUUGGGCUUUUCUCUUGAGAGGGUUUUGAGUAGAGAAGUGACAUGAGCUCACCUACUAGGCAGUUGUCCAUCUACAGGGCAUCUUCGUGCAAACUGAAAAGGAUGCCCUUUCUUCCAAAUGGCUGCAACCUUGAAGCAAAGCACACAGCUCAGUGAGUGGAGCAGGGCUGGAUUUCAUCCCUUGCUCAGCUGGGUGCUCCAGGGAGGAGAUUAUUACAGUACAGUAGGCAUCUUCUGUUUCUCAAGGAUUCUGAGAAACAAAUACUUCCGUUAGUCUUACAAGAUACAGGGACAAAAAUUGAGGUUCAGGGCCGUUUAAGGAAGAGAGGUGGAAAAAGUGCUGAUAAAUAGCCCAGGCUUUCAGUUGGGAUGCUCAAAGAGCUAUUCCUGGGAGUACAACCUCACAAAUACUGAAACCCAGACUCUAAUCUCCCCAAUAUCUGCAUGGAUUAAGGUGGAAUAUGCGUUUCAAGUAUCCCCUGGAAUUACAUGAGGCUUGGUUCCUUGUUAAAGGAAAGCAGGUUACGAAGAUAUGGGGUUGGAGACAGGAUGCCUUCUCAGUAGCCAUGAAGUUGACCCUUGCUUGACUCAUAAAGAAAACUGGACCUGAGACUGCUUGCUUAAUCUCAAAGCCCUUGGGCUUCAUUCCCUGUUUGUCUGCUCAGAUGUCCCCUCUUACACCAAAUUUCUACCAAGCUACCUGUUCCUUGGAGAUUCUGCUCAGAGGCCUGGGUCUCUCACCACAGAUGUCAAUAUGUGUUGGGCUGGUAGCCACCUCUCCUGGGUUCUGCCGCUAAACGUACUCCAGGUGGCCCAGGCUUCUCAAAUAUCACAGUUGAGUAAGUCUGGAUAGUAUGAUGCAAUAAUCGCUGCCUCAUGUUUGCUCCCUGUGGGGUGUUCUGUGGUUUAUGUGGCAUUGUCCUCCCUGCCUCUGCCACAGAGCCUGGGUUUGAAUAAUUGCCUGUAUCCUGGCUGGCACUGGGCUUAAUGAUUGCCUCUUUAGUCCCUUCAUGCAUGUCUACAUCCUUUCCUUUCAGCAAACAGGCCCCCCAAAAUUGCAAGGGCUGUUAUUAGCAGACCUCCGCUCUCAACCACAGUCUCACCGAGGUGCCGUAACAGCCGCCCUACAGACAUCCUGCCACCGCUCUGUU
rnacentral:lncRNA from 1 species